UGCAAGUGAAGUGACCCCAAAAGAAACAGAGAAAUCGAGGACAUGCAAUGAGUGAAAAACGUUCAGAUAUCGAGCUAGAAAACCGUGGAAAAGAAUAUAUACAAUCAAGAGCUCGGUGGAGUGUACAUAGAUAUAAAUGGAGUAUUUAUGUUGGUGUAGACGGAUGCAUAUAUGUAUAUAUGUUUAAGCCAUCAACGGAAAUAGGACGCCAAAAGACUGAAAUACCAUGGAAUAUUGUCGUAAUUUCAAGUUUUAAUUCAGUUCAUACAAUCGGAAAUCACUUUCUUGAACAUGCAGUGCUUUUAUAGUCCGUCGUCAAUCUGGCCAUUUCCCCUUAAGUGUGUUUAUUUGUGGUUACUUUAGCCAAUUGUUCGAACCAUAAAUUUAAUAAUCAUUUGAAUUUAUCUACGUAGCCGAUCGCUAUGAUUUAUCAUUAAUUUUAUUUAUUUUGGGGCUAGAGACAUAAACCCAUCACUCGGCGGGAUUUCAUUAGUGCACCCGAAAGUAAAGCCCAUAGAGCACUUCCUUUAUGGUAAACAGCUGCGAAAAAAACAACCGCAACGGCCGAAAGUGUUGAUGUACGAGAACGAAUAUCAAAAUACUCUGCGAUGGGCGAAUAUUUUAGGGGGGGUUCUGGUCAGAGGAUCCUAAGAGUUAGUUUGUUUAUUUUUGCUGCCCGAUUUUAAUGAGCAAAAUGCAAAUGUAUUUUCACAACUAAUUGUUUUCCACAGAUUAAAGUGCUUUCCAAAUUGAUUUUGUUUAUAUAUUUCAUUAUUGACGCAAGUCUAAGGGGUAAGGGGUUAGUUUCUAGUUCUAGUUUCCUAGGAGCAUAUGAGGCAUACUCUAUGGUGGAUAUCUUGACGAUGAUCGUAUAUGAUCUAGCCCAGGAAAUGUAAGAAACGGUAAACAAAAAUAAAAGAAGCAAAAUAAAGUAUAUAUUAGUGAUUGCUUAGUUAAUCUGGUUAGGCUGUUUGUCUUUUCACUCUUUUGUUGUAAGUCCCUAUAGAGUGUUACCUUGAGCACAUCACUCUGAUUGCUUAGCUCGAUGGGCACUCGUAUACUGGUAAUUUGGCCGCAACAGGACAUGGUUUCCUUUUAAUUGGAUUAUCACUUCUUAAGUUUACUUAAUGUUUGCAGGUUUUUAGACACUUUCUUCACUUGUGGCUUUUUCUAUUGAUCGUUCAGAUUUCAUCUGGCAUUUUAUAUGCACAUUUUCCAAGCGACUGUAAACACAAACACGAAUUUAAGCACAUUUUCAAUUUGCCAAUUGACCAAUUUGCAUUUAAUAUAUGCUGUUUAAUUGUCAAUCGCGUCCCGUGCUUAAACGGUCAAAUGUAUAUUUUAAUUAUAGAUUUUCCUAAGAGGCUCAUUUCAUAACCGCAUCGAGAUUGUUUAAAUGCUAAUUAGCUCGUAAAAAUAGAUUUGUAAUUGAAGAGUGUGUGGAAAAAGCUUUUUGGAUAUUAUGCAGAUAUUAUUUGCUAUUGCUUAUUUUAUAUCGAAUGUUGUUCCAUUAUAUCUGUUGUAAUUAUGUAUUUUUGUCUUUGAUCUAAUAACAUCAUUUUUAUAUUAUGAAUCCACUUAAGACCUGGUAAGAUUCGUAUUAAAACCUCACAGAAUGUUUGAAUUACACCAAUUUGUAGUGAAUUAAAAGCAGAACCAAAACUCAAAAACCAUAACAUAAUUAUGACGCCUGGCUGUCCGUUUCCAUAUUUUUGGCAAGUGCGGCCCAGUCAUUUUGUUUAUAAUUUUUCAAUAUUGGCAGCUGCA